GGCUUCUAUGACAACUGCUUAUGAGAAGAAAUGGAUGUUCUACCUUAGCACCAAAAACACGAUCCUGAAAAAAUAUGAUGGCAGGUUUAAGGACAUUUUCCAGGAGGACUAUGAAGCUGACUGGAAGUCCAAAUUUGAGGCUGCUGGAAUAUGGUAUUAGCAUCGUCUUAUUGAUGACCGAAGG